UACGUAGGUCCCGAGCGUUGUCCGGAUUUAUUGGGCGUAAAGCGAGCGCAGGUGGUUUAUUAAGUCUGGUGUAAAAGGCAGUGGCUCAACCAUUGUAUGCAUUGGAAACUGGUAGACUUGAGUGCAGGAGAGGAGAGUGGAAUUCCAUGUGUAGCGGUGAAAUGCGUAGAUAUAUGGAGGAACACCGGUGGCGAAAGCGGCUCUCUGGCCUGUAACUGACACUGAGGUUCGAAAGCGUGGGUAGCAAACAGG
rnacentral:rRNA from 1 species